ACAGUUGCAGUUAACAUUUGCAGUCAGGAUUGUGUCAUUUCCACUGUUUUGUCUCCUUCUUUUGGCAAAAGUUUGCUGCACUUAUUAACGAGCCCUGCUGUGGAAACCUAGGAACUAGUGCGAUUUACAGAGUGUCUAACACAAUUCAGCAUAAGAGACAGGUUGAACACUGUGGAUAUUUGUGCAACUAUAUGGAAUUGCACGCAAGUAACUUUUACAUCCAUUUUAGAGCAAUCCCACUGUACUGUGUUCAUUAAUGACCCCUAUAGUCCCAUUCAUGGGGAUUAUAGUCAUUUUGUUGUAGUGUCACAUUUUCUAAAAUGUCUCCUCCUUCUGUUUAACAUCACCAGCACCUUAUGGAUUAACAGAAGCAGAAACCUUUGGAACAAUCUACACUGCUAACUUACGGUUAUUAAACUUUGAUUGUGUAAACAUUUCUCUGUGGUUCCCCACACCUUCAGAAGAGCAAACAAAGGAUUUAAAGCCAUCGUGCCAGUAAGGAGCAGAGCAUCAAGUACAUGGAGACCAAUUAGCCCUGUAUAGGACAAUCUUCCUGCGUGUGACAACCCUGUUAUCUACAUCUGGCCAAACAGGCAUUCGGCUAUUUACUCUCUGUCUCUCUGUGGGAAGCAAGUCCAAUCAAACGGCACCAUGCAAGCAGCAGACAUUCUCCUUACAACAAAAAAUCAUAUAAUAAAAUCUUUUUCUGUGAAUUGUGGGGAAAAAAAAUAAAUUGAAAAUGAGGAGUGUAUCCCA